rnacentral:tRNA from 2 species
GGUAGUAUGGCCGAAUUAAGCGGUAAUCUGUAAAAUUACACAUAGGAGAGAUCCUUACUGCCA